AAACUUUCAACAACGGAUCUCUUGGUUUUGGCAUCGAUGAAGAACGCAGCGAAAUGCGAUAAGUAAUGCGAAUUGCAGAAUUCCGUGAGUCAUCGAAUCUUUGAACGCACAUUGCGCCCUUUGGUAUUCCGAAGGGCAUGCCUGUUCGAGCGUCAUUA
rnacentral:rRNA from 1 species